rnacentral:misc_RNA from 1 species
AAGUCGUAACAAGGUUUCCGUAGGUGAACCUGCGGAAGGAUCAUUACUGAGUAAUAAGGUUUUGCUUUGGCUUGCUUCAAUGGGCUUGUCAGGGUGACUCCUUCCUUCUCUUCCCACCCUUUUGUUAUUCUUCUUUGCAGUUGCUUUGGUAGUUGUACAUUUGUAUAACUAUCAGAGGAAACACCCUUCCAACUCUUUUGAUAACCAAUAAUUGGUAUUCUGCAGUCUGAUUUAUUACUGAAAUAGUAUAAUAAAACUUUUAACAACGGAUCUCUUGGUUCUG